rnacentral:rRNA from 1 species
AUACGUAGGUGGCAAGCGUUAUCCGGAUUUAUUGGGCGCAAAGCGAGUGCAGGCGGUCUUUUAAGUCUGAUGUGAAAGCCUUCGGCUUAACCGAAGAAGGGCAUCGGAAACUGGGAGACUUGAGUGCAGAAGAGGAGAGUGGAACUCCAUGUGUAGCGGUGAAAUGCGUAGAUAUAUGGAAGAACACCAGUGGCGAAGGCGGCUGUCUGGUCUGUAACUGACGCUGAGGCUCGAAAGUAUGGGUAGC